rnacentral:misc_RNA from 1 species
CUGAACUUCAAUUUUAUUCACCUGAAUGUUAAGAAAAGAACAGCAUGUGUAAAUACUUGUCUUCUGAUAAUCUUUGACAAACUUAUCAGCCAACUUACAGUUAAAGGAAAUCAAAUCUAGGCAAAAUGGAAACUUGAUGUGUACAUCCAAAAGUAAUAAUGGAAAUAGAAAUUUCCCUAUGAAGCACUUUCCCAUCACAAAUUUUAAAACAGAAAAGACAAGAAAAGAACUCUCAUGUUAGACUCCAUACCCAGGUCAAGAAACCACCUUUAGUUGUUGCUCCUUGGAACCACUUAGACCAAUUUCUCAUGUCAUGCUAAAGAGACAGAUAGAGCAUCCUGAAUCUCACUCCUCAAUAGAUCACUCAUUGGAAUACUUAUUGAUGAAACUAAAAAAGGUGGUAUAAUAAAUUCACAUUAAAAAUUUUACGAUGAAGAGAAGAAAACUCAAAAAAUUAAACAACCUUCCGAGGGUGAGUAACGAGUUCAUUAGCAUCUUCCACACCUUGGCUACCAAGAACAUGCUCAUUUCCACAUGAUGGUGAUGCUUCAUCAAAAUCAUUCCUUUCCUGCCCUGAUUUAUUUUCUGAUAGUUCCCUUCUUUUCUUUCCCGAGAACGUAACAUUAGGGAGAAGAAACAACUUCACAAGAUUCUCAGGUUGAUAUUGGCAAUCUUCUGGAAGUGUGCUGCUACAUGGUGCUUGUUUUGCAGGGAGUAGUAAAGACUUCAGACUUUUGGGUGGAGCAAAGAUAUCAACUCUUUUCCUGUUCAAUGAUUUAAUGAAAUCAAUGUCAUCCUCUGCUUGAUAUUUGCUCUUGUGUCUCUUAGUUGUGUAACCACUUUCAGCAAAAGAAACAUUCUCUUGACCUACAAAAAGGAUACCAGAUUAAGUAGCAGAAAAAAUGGAUAUGCAAGACACAAAAUGCAAGCCAAGACAGCUUUUCCUUUGUCCUUGCUAAUACUUACACCUAUACUUCUGAAAUUUCCAGUGAUCAGGACCUGCCUACAUAUUUUGUUCUAAAGUAAUUCCCAAUCCUUCAAACAAAAACAUGGUAACAUUCUGAAAACUUUGAUCUACAUCAGGUUUGAAAGACAUACAGAGAUCAUUCUCCUACAAAAUUACACCAAGUUUGUCUAAGUACCCUUUAUUACCUCUUUUCUCUUCAGUAAAGUACAAAAUGAAGGAUGCAUUAGAUGAGCAAUGAGAAAACUAGGACUUAAACUACAGUAGAAAAUAGCAUGAAAAAGACCCCUCAUGAUCACUUUGAAGAGUAGAAUCAUUAGGAAAGCUCUCAUUGAAAAUGAUAGACUCAUUGUCAUUAUUAUAAGCCCAGGCUUCAAACUUGCCAAAUGAAUUAUUAUCCUUUUUGACUUCACUAGUGCCAAACACAUUAGCUCUCGCAUCAAACUUCUGGCCUACACCAAAGGUUUCAGAUGAUCUUUGAUUGUCUUCAUCAAAAUGACAGAUGAUGUCCCCAAGAGUUGGAGAAAUUUCAUUCUUUGCCUGAAUGUUCUUCUCCAUCUGUUCAAUAGAUUCUUUAGCAAAUGAGAUAUCAAUCAUAUCUAGAUUAUCAUUUUCUGCAAACACGAUUUGCACUUCCCUGGCACUUCAAAAGAAUCAAAAAGCACCUGGCAUCCUCCAUAUACUCCAAGAUUAUUCAAUAGGAGACCCUUGGCUCCUCCUUCAUCAAAUUGUGCAGAUGUCAUCAAACCUUUUCACAUUUAGGGCUUCAAAUGAGGAUUCCAACGUUGACAAUGGUAAAUCUUCUUCCCAGAAUUUUUCUUAAAAUGACUCCUAUCUUGCCACACCUUGACAUUAUCACUCUUUGUCACAGAAGUCUCUGGUUCACCUUCUAGACUGGCUCGACCGAGCCCAUCAAGAACCUUAUAUGCCUCAGAGAGCACUGCAUCCACCCUCACAGAGUAGAUUUUCACUCCUGCUUCCAAAGUGUAACUUGCCUUUUGGAAAUCAGUCUCAGUAUCAGCUUCAGAUGCGACUUUAAUAAUAUCACUAAGAUGGUCUAUAAGCUUCAGCUCCCAAGUGUUCUUCUGAUCUAUUUUAUUUUCGCUAGCGAGCUUGAUGCAGUUCUAAAACAACUCGAUGAUCUGUUGUUUGCUAAGACAAGGAUCAGGAGGAGAAGGAGCGGCAAAAGUGGUGGCUUUAAGGCGAGUGGCGGGUACACGUGCAGCUCGUACUUGAGCGCGCUCUAGCUGGUCGUUGUUUGAGGCCAGGAAGAAGGAAUUAAUCGGUGAUUGAAGACGGUACGCCAUGGUAGUUCUCUGCCUGGGACUCGCUGCUUCGCCCAUCGAACCGAGCAGUUUUUCAGAAUCUGAGAGGGAAAGGUUUCAUCUUCGUUUUGAAUUUGGUUAUUU